CCUCUCGUAGCGUAGGGGUAACGCGCCUUAUCUAGUGAACAGGGUGCGUGAGUUCGAUUCGCACCAAGAAGA
rnacentral:tRNA from 1 species